rnacentral:lncRNA from 1 species
CUAGCCUAUGAUCAUAAUUACAGAAUCAAGAAUUAAAAUGAAAUUAAAAGAUAUAAAGAAUACACCCGUAUGAUAAUCCUUCAAUUUUGUGUGUAAUCUUCAAUUCCUUCUUGAAUCCUUGUGAAAUCAAGCCCAAGAUUGUGUUUAUUGCCUUCAAAUUGAGUGUAUUUCUUCUUCCUGAUUGUUCCUCUCUUCAAUUUGAUGAUUUUGGGUAUUUAUAUCGCGUCAAAAUUAAGCAGGAAAAGAGUUUCAACGAAAACAAAAAACUGCAACGGAGGCCCCCGAAUUAUCACUAUGCGACCGCAUAGAAGGUUUCUAUGCGGUCGCAUAGACCAAUAAAUUUCCCCCCAAAAUUUCCUGCAACCAUCUAUGCGAGCGCAUAGAUGGUUACACUAUGUGGUCGUAUAGACUAACCAACUAUGAAGUCUUUACAUUUUGGUCCCUGAACUUUCCUUGUUGCUUCUCUUGACUUCUUUCUUCGAUUUCUUCAUCUUUUCAACAAAUGUUAUCCUCCAAUUGAUGAUUGACACCAUCGAAUCUCUUGCCACUCAUUCGGCUCAUCUUUUGAGUAUUUGCGCUUUAGUUCUCCAACUUUUAACUGUGUUCAUUUCAGUCCCUCUUUGAUUCUUUCUUCCUCCACUUGUUUUGCUUUGUCCUUGAGCUCAUACUCGGCAUGUUUUUACCCUCGUUUUGCAUUUAGCUCAACUUCUCAAUAUUUUGCACCUUUGGUCCUCGAACUAUCACUUUGUUGAGUUUUGGUCCUUCUUCGGCUCUUUUCUCCUGAAUUCCACAAUUUCCAUUGAAAUACCUACAUUGCAUGAAUUUAAUAAGAUUAAGCCACAAUUGAACCAUUUUAUCCAUGUUUAAGUCAUGUUUGUGAACCAAAUAAAUGUGUAAAAACAUACUUAUCAAGAGUGCUUUUUGACCUCUCUGCCUAUCCUUGCAGCAGUGCGAUUAGGACGUCGAUCAAGGCUGGUUCACCCUCUUACUUGGCGAUAAACCGAGAAAUUAGUUUGCUCUCAGUUGUAGCUCAUAAAACAUUUAGUAUUUUGUAUCCCACAAUUGUAAUGAAUAUUUGAUAACAAAGGAAUUCAUUUGAACGUAUUUCGUUCUUGCCUUAUUUAUCUAUGAUCGUUCAACACAAUUAUAUUGAUU